rnacentral:rRNA from 1 species
GACGAACGCUGGCGGCGUGCUUAACACAUGCAAGUCGAGCGGUAAGGCCCUUUCGGGGGUACACGAGCGGCGAACGGGUGAGUAACACGUGGGUGACCUGCCCUCAGCUCUGGGAUAAGCCUGGGAAACCGGGUCUAAUACUGGAUAUGACUCCAUGACGCAUGUUGUGGGGUGGAAAGCCUUGUGCGGCUGAGGAUGGGCCCGCGGCCUAUCAGCUUGUUGGUGGGGUGAUGGCCUACCAAGGCGACGACGGGUAGCCGGCCUGAGAGGGCGGCCGGCCACACUGGGACUGAGACACGGCCCAGACUCCUACGGGAGGCAGCAGUGGGGAAUCUUGCGCAAUGGGCGAAAGCCUGACGCAGCGACGCCGCGUGAGGGAUGACGGCCUGUGU